rnacentral:tRNA from 1 species
GGCCCGUUGGUCAAGUGGUUAAGACACCGCCCUUUCACGGCGGUAUCACGGGUUCGAAUCCCGUACGGGUCAC